rnacentral:rRNA from 1 species
GAUGAACGCUGGCGGCGUGCCUAAUACAUGCAAGUCGAGCGAACAGACGAGGAGCUUGCUCCUCUGACGUUAGCGGCGGACGGGUGAGUAACACGUGGAUAACCUACCUAUAAGACUGGGAUAACUUCGGGAAACCGGAGCUAAUACCGGAUAAUAUAUUGAACCGCAUGGUUCAAUAGUGAAAGACGGUUUUGCUGUCACUUAUAGAUGGAUCCGCGCCGCAUUAGCUAGUUGGUAAGGUAACGGCUUACCGAGGCAACGAUGCGUAGCCGACCUGAGAGGGUGAUCGGCCACACUGGAACUGAGACACGGUCCAGACUCCUACGGGAGGCAGCAGUAGGGAAUCUUCCGCAAUGGGCGAAAGCCUGACGGAGCAACGCCGCGUGAGUGAUGAAGGUCUUCGGAUCGUAAAGCUCUGUUAUUAGGGAAGAACAAAUGUGUAAGUAACUAUGCACGUCUUGACGGUACCUAAUCAGAAAGCCACGGCUAACUACGUG